CACGUAGGGCGCAAGCGUUGUCCGGAAUUACUGGGCGUAAAGUGUGCGCAGGCGGCUUCGCAAGUCGAGUGUGAAAUCCCCGAGCUUAACUUGGGAAUUGCGCUCGAAACUACGGAGCUGGAGUGUGGCAGAGGAAGGUGGAAUUCCACGUGUAGCGGUGAAAUGCGUAGAGAUGUGGAGGAACACCGAUGGCGAAGGCAGCCUUCUGGGCCAACACUGACGCUCAUGCACGAAAGCGUGGGGAGCAAACAGG
rnacentral:rRNA from 1 species